GAUCCAGGAAUUUCCGAAUGGGGAAACCCACUGCUCGUAAUGGAGUAGUACACGUAUCUGAAUUCAUAGGAUACGUGAGGCAGACCCGGGGAACUGAAACAUCUUAGUACCCGGAGGAAGAGAAAGCAAAUGCGAUUUCCCAAGUAGCGGCGAGCGAAACGGAAUCAGCCCAAACCAGAAAGCUUGCUUUCUGGGGUUGUAGGACACUCUAUACGGAGUUACAAAGAAACGCUUUAAAUGAAUCGACCUGGAACGGUCAGCCAAAGAAGGUAAGAGCCCUG
rnacentral:rRNA from 1 species